AUUGAACGCUGGCGGUAUGCUUAACACAUGCAAGUCGAACGAUGAGAAAGAGCUUGCUCUUUCGAUUAGUGGCGGACGGGUGCGUAACGCGUAGGAAUCUACCUAUUAGUGGGGGACAACUUAGGGGAACUUAAGCUAAUACCGCAUACGCCCUACGGGGGAAAGAAGGGGAUCGCAAGACCUUUUGCUAAUAGGUGAGCCUGCGUAGGAUUAGCUAGUUGGUGGGGUAAAAGCUCACCAAGGCGACGAUCCUUAACUGGUUUGAGAGAAUGAUCAGUCACACUGGAACUGAGACACGGUCCAGACUCCUACGGGAGGCAGCAGUGGGGAAUAUUGGACAAUGGGCGAAAGCCUGAUCCAGCAAUACCGCGUGUGUGAAGAAGGCCUUAGGGUUGUAAAGCACUUUCAAUUGGAAGGAAAACCUCGAAGCUAAUACCUUCGAGUUUGACAUUACCUUUAGAAGAAGCACCGGCUAACUCCGUGCCAGCAGCCGCGGUAACAC
rnacentral:rRNA from 1 species